AGGUUUUUUCUGAGACUGAACAACAGGUGCAUGCUUUGGUCAGCUGUGCAGCAGGAGAUGGGUCAAAGGAGAUCUCAACAACGUCUGAUUCUCAGCUGACAUGUCAUGACAACACUCAACAGGUUUGUUCUGAGACUGAACAACAGGUGCAUGAUUUGGUCAGCUGUGCAGCAGGAGAUGGGUCAAAGGAGGUUUAUUCUGAGACUGAACAACAGGUGCAUGAUUUGGUCAGCUGUGCAGCAGGAAAUGGGUCAAAGGAGGUUUUUUCUGAGACUGAACAACAGGUGCAUGCUUUGGUCAGCUGUGCAGCAGGAGAUGGGUCAAAGGAGG